rnacentral:rRNA from 1 species
GAUGAACGCUGACAGAAUGCUUAACACAUGCAAGUCAACUUGAACUUCGGUUUGGGUGGCGGACGGGUGAGUAACGCGUAAAGAACUUGCCUCACAGAUAGGGACAACAUUUGGAAACGAAUGCUAAUACCUGAUAUUAUGAUUUUAGGGCAUCCUAGAAUUAUGAAAGCUAUAUGCGCUGUGAGAGAGCUUUGCGUCCCAUUAGCUAGUUGGAGAGGUAACGGCUCACCAAGGCGAUGAUGGGUAGCCGGCCUGAGAGGGUGAACGGCCACAAGGGGACUGAGACACGGCCCUUACUCCUACGGGAGGCAGCAGUGGGGAAUAUUGGACAAUGGACCAAGAGUCUGAUCCAGCAAUUCUGUGUGCACGAUGAAGUUUUUCGGAAUGUAAAGUGCUUUCAGUUGGGAAGAAAAAAAUGACGGUACCAACAGAAGAAGUGACGGCUAAAUACGUGCCAGCAGCCGCGGUAAUACGUAUGUCACAAGCGUUAUCCGGAUUUAUUGGGCGUAAAGCGCGUCUAGGUGGUUAUGUAAGUCUGAUGUGAAAAUGCAGGGCUCAACUCUGUAUUGCGUUGGAAACUGUGUAGCUAGAGUACUGGAGAGGUAAGCGGAACUACAAGUGUAGAGGUGAAAUUCGUAGAUAUUUGUAGGAAUGCCGAUGGGGAAGCCAGCUUACUGGACAGAUNCUGACGCUGAAGCGCGAAAGCGUGGGUAGCAAACAGG